GUGUUGGGGCGGGGAAACAGACCGUGGGGGCCGGCCAAUAUUAACAUAUCGUGAGCGCUCCUACUGCGUGGUGUGCAUUUGCCGGUAGGACACUAGUUUUGUCAGUACAACCCGGUGACGAACUGAACGGUUGGUUGAUCUCCUCCAUCCAUGUUUGGACGCUAAGCAAGAAUGCUCUGGAUGCGCUCUACACUGGGCCUGCAUAGCACAGUUUAUGACGCACCGAUUAGUUUUAUCUAGACUACCAAGACAAGAGAGACCAUGGUGCUUUCUAUGGGUUUUUGGAACGUGGUAGAUGGCAGGUUUAGGAGAGACGCUGAAGGGGGGGAAGGCAGAGGCACCUGGGACCUGUAACGCUGGCAGUCCUGACCCAAAGGGUGCAGCAUUCUUUACAACACAGAAUGAAGAAUGAAGAGGAGGAUGAAAGGACAGAGUGGGAGGAAAGGCUAGAACCAGGAGGGAGACGGAGAGGUGGAGAGGUGGAGGGUGGAGGGCUGAGAGCAGGGCGGCACCUGGAGCUUGGCUUAGUCGUCCAGGACCGCAGGAGGCUCUCAUUCUCCCUGCCUCCAGCCCGACCGCGGCAUCGCCAGGGCCCGCUCGCAGAUUGGAGGCCAAGCGAGGAGCUCCCUCAGUGGGCUGCAGAGGUGCAGCUGGAUCCCCGCAGCUCCCCACCCAUGUGGAGCGGUGGAGCAGCAGAGAUCAAUACGGAGAGAGGGGCCUCCACCACACUGCUCAACUGUAGCCUCCAGCGCAGAAGACCCCAAGACCUCUAGAGCACGCUGCUGCUAAACACACACACACCAACUCACUAGACUGGAGAAGUGUGCACACACACACACACACACACACACACACACACACACACACACAGAAACUUGAGAACACAUACUCCCAAAUCGGUCUUUGUGUAGUGUUGAAGACUUCGCCAAAGGCAUUUUCUAUGAUCAGCUCUGUAACCAUCCACAUUUGCUUUUGGAAAAAGUUGUUCGGUUUUUGUAAAAUUUAUAAUGCAUCCUGAAAAUGUGUGUUGGCAAUUAAAAACUAACACACACAAACAACACUCCAGAAAUAAACUCCCCAAGUUCUCCCCGGGGGGCACCCAAGUGUUAGAGUUCACACUGAGAUUGAACCUAUUUGUGAGAGUUGCUCUACUGGACGACCAAACCUCAAACCAUCACGAAGAAUCCAGAAGUCCACCCAGAAAAUCACCUGCCCAGAGUAGUGUCCAAGAGCACCACUCAGUACUGACCAGACCGAGGACAGGAUGACCGACAGAAGCUUUUACAGUAUGAGGUUUGCUGGGAAAGUGUAGGUGGCACUGGAGAUGCAGAGAGGACUAUACCAGAGCAGAGAUGACAAAGCACCAAGUCUCUUACUUUACAGCAAACUAUCACAGAAAGAAUGCACUAAUUCCAUUAAACAACCAUCUCAGCACUGCAACAAAAACGGUGGAUACCAACUGCUUACAAGAAGAAGACCAGACAUGUACAAAAACAUGCCUUUGUGUACUGAACUCCUACCUGGCAAUCUGUGUAUUGGCCUCAAACAUCUCUGGAUACAUUAAAGAAUCUACUAUGUAUGAACAGUUUUUCCACUUUCCUCUAAAUCUAAUCACAAUUCCGAGGAAUGUCCUGUAUUGGAUAUGAAUUGGUUGGUUCGUUGAUGAGGUGAUGAUCAUCAGAAAAGAUGGGUAAGUAAAGGUAAGUAAGUGAUAUACUACAUCUCUCAUGAAAUAAUUAACCAUCAGGUAAUCAGUAAAGCAGAAAUUUGAAGUAUUUAUAUAUAGUUAAUUUUAGCCAAAUCAUAUUCCAGAAUCCACAUAUUAUUAGGCUCUUUGUUACUAGAAUGUGGGCACAAUAUAUUCAGAUAUUUGACCCCAAUAUUACAUUUUGUGGACCUAAGGAGCUGGCAUAAGAUAGAAAAACACCACCUCCUUAACAGCAUUUUAUUGCUGUCAUUUGUGUGGUCGUUUACUAUUUGCUUUGCAUGUUUUUGUGCUCCUUUUUAAAGUAAUUGUAACUGAUAUUAAAUGACGAAUACAUUAUUUUUCUUCAUUCACGCUAUAUUUAAAAAAAUUGACUGCUUUUUUGAAGUGAUAUAUCUGUGUUAUUUUAUCAAUAAAGUGACAUAAAAUGGAA